GGGCGCGUAGCACAACUGGCUAGUGCACUGGUCUCCAAAACCAGAGGUUGGGGGUUCGAGUCCCUCCGCGCCUG
rnacentral:tRNA from 1 species